rnacentral:lncRNA from 1 species
CUUAUGUAUUAGCAUACAAAUAGCAUUUUUCUUUCCUCUAUAAAGAAAAAAUCCAAAAUUUAUGAGCUUUCUAUAUACGAAGAGCUACUAUAUAUGCAAUCGGAAAUAUAGAAACUUGGUGUUUUCGACUUUUUAGUCUUUGGAUAAAAAAUUAUAUGAUUAUGAUAAUUGUAGUCUCCUCUACGGUGAGUGAUCCUUAUAAAAUAAUAAUAUUAAUCAAAAGAUUAUGAAUGAUAAAAAAAGUAGAAAUUAUCUGUUCUUCUAUGUUUUCAAUAGUACAAUAACUCUACUCCUUCCUAUAUAUACAUUAUUAUUAUUUUUAUUAUUAUUAUUAUUAUUUCUCCAAAUUUUUAUCUUUCUUGCUUUGUCUCAAAUC